rnacentral:rRNA from 1 species
UGGGGAAUCUUGGACAAUGGGGGCAACCCUGAUCCAGCGAUGCCGCGUGAGCGAAGAAGGCCUUAGGGUUGUAAAGCUCUUUCGCCCGCGACGAUGAUGACGGUAGCGGGAGAAGAAGCCCCGGCUAACUCCGUGCCAGCAGCCGCGGUAAUACGGAGGGGGCUAGCGUUGUCCGGAAUUACUGGGCGUAAAGCGCGCGUAGGCGGUCCACCAAGUCGGGGGUGAAAGCCCGGGGCUCAACCCCGGAAUGUCCUCCGAGACUGUUGGACUGGAGUUCGGGAGAGGACAGCGGAAUUCCGAGUGUAGAGGUGAAAUUCGUAGAUAUUGGGAAGAACACCGGUGGCGAAGGCGGCUCUCUGGCCCGCAACUGACGCUGAGGCGCGAAAGCGUGGGGAGCAAACA